UACGUAGGGCGCAAGCGUUAUCCGGAAUUAUUGGGCGUAAAGAGCUCGUAGGCGGCUUGUCGCGUCGACCGUGAAAACUUGGGGCUCAACCCCAAGCCUGCGGUCGAUACGGGCAGGCUAGAGUUCGGUAGGGGAGACUGGAAUUCCUGGUGUAGCGGUGAAAUGCGCAGAUAUCAGGAGGAACACCGGUGGCGAAGGCGGUGCUCUGGGCCGAAACUGACGCUGAGGAGCGAAAGCGUGGGUAGCAAACAGG
rnacentral:rRNA from 1 species